UCAAUGCAAACUAACGAACAUUUUUGUAAAAUUUUUCAUCACUUUCCCACGUAAUAGAUACAUGGUGAAAAAGCAAUUGCAAGGGAAAGGAUCUAUGCAUCCCAAUGUUGUGAUGUCAUUCAUGUGAAUGUCAUUGAACAACAUGAAGGAAACAUUGCAGCAAAGAGCCAGUAACAAAUUAUCAGUUAUUUUGGAUGACAGGCUAAUCAUGCGUCCCAUUCUUGCAAACUGAAUGAAAUGCAUUUUACGUGCUUCACUAAUGGGAAUGCUUAAGUACCCCUUGGGCUGCACCUCGUAAAGAUUGUCAGCCCAAUAUGAGCACUAUGAAAAUUCCAUGAGACAUUGGAGAUGAACAAACUACACUUAGUGCGAUAAGAGGUAGCCAAGAAAAUGGACAUGAAUACUCCUGCUAAAAAGAAGGUGCAUUCUAGAUAGUUAUCCAAAAUGAUCAUGAAUACUCCUGCUAAAAAGAAGGCAGAAGUUGAAAAUAAAAGAGCAUUUGAAGCAACUUUGAAGAUACUCAUGAUUUGGCAAAGCAAGCCAUCGUGGCUCCUUCAAAAUAUCUAUUGGGGAAUGUAGUCUUCAAGACCCAGACUAGCAGUCCACAAAGCGUGUACAACCACGCCGCACACAUCGCUACCGCCUGUCAUCUCUAAUCUUGAGUUGUAGAGCGAGAACCCACAAUUGGGAGUGGCUAUUGGCGACUGGAGUUGUCUAGAGAUCGGCCAGUGUUCCCAUUCUGUUUCGUUCAACUGCAUGCGUUAAAUACCCGAUUUUAAGGACAAAACCAGAUAUGCACUAUAUGUGAGUUUUAGAA